GCGGCGGAGCAUGUGGAUUAAUUCGAUGCAACGCGAAGAACCUUACCUGGGUUUGACAUAUACCGGAAAGCUGCAGAGAUGUGGCCCCCCUUGUGGUCGGUAUACAGGUGGUGCAUGGCUGUCGUCAGCUCGUGUCGUGAGAUGUUGGGUUAAGUCCCGCAACGAGCGCAACCCUAUCUUAUGUUGCCAGCACGUUAUGGUGGGGACUCGUAAGAGACUGCCGGGGUCAACUCGGAGGAAGGUGGGGACGACGUCAAGUCAUCAUGCCCCUUAUGUCCAGGGCUUCACACAUGCUACAAUGGCCAGUACAGAGGGCUGCGAGACCGUGAGGUGGAGCGAAUCCCUUAAAGCUGGUCUCAGUUCGGAUCGGGGUCUGCAACUCGACCCCGUGAAGUCGGAGUCGCUAGUAAUCGCAGAUCAGCAACGCUGCGGUGAAUACGUUCCCGGGCCUU
rnacentral:rRNA from 1 species